rfam:Shewanella amazonensis SB2B, complete genome.
CUUGGUGACAAUAGCGCUCUGGUCCCACCUGAUCCCAUUCCGAACUCAGCAGUGAAACGGAGCAGCGCCGAUGGUAGUGUGGGGUCUCCCCAUGUGAGAGUAGGUCAUUGCCAAGC